GACGAACGCUGGCGGCGUGCUUAACACAUGCAAGUCGAACGGAAAGGCCCUGCUUUUGUGGGGCGCUCGAGUGGCGAACGGGUGAGUAACACGUGAGUAACCUGCCCUUGACUUUGGGAUAACUUCAGGAAACUGGGGCUAAUACCGGAUAGGAGCUCCUGCUGCAUGGUGGGGGUUGGAAAGUUUCGGCGGUUGGGGAUGGACUCGCGGCUUAUCAGCUUGUUGGUGGGGUAGUGGCUUACCAAGGCUUUGACGGGUAGCCGGCCUGAGAGGGUGACCGGCCACAUUGGGACUGAGAUACGGCCCAGACUCCUACGGGAGGCAGCAGUGGGGAAUAUUGCACAAUGGGCGGAAGCCUGAUGCAGCAACGCCGCGUGCGAGAUGACGGCCUUCGGGUUGUAAACCGCUUUCGCCUGUGACGAAGCGUGAGUGACGGUAAUGGGUAAAGAAGCACCGGCUAACUACGUG
rnacentral:rRNA from 1 species